UACGGGGGGGGCAAGCGUUGUUCGGAAUUACUGGGCGUAAAGGGCUCGUAGGCGGCCAACUAAGUCAGACGUGAAAUCCCUCGGCUUAACCGGGGAACUGCGUCUGAUACUGGAUGGCUUGAGUUUGGGAGAGGGAUGCGGAAUUCCAGGUGUAGCGGUGAAAUGCGUAGAUAUCUGGAGGAACACCGGUGGCGAAGGCGGCAUCCUGGCCCUGUCCUGACGCUCAGGGGCGAAAGCGUGGGGAGCAAACCGG
rnacentral:rRNA from 1 species